GGGCCUUCACGGGCUUUGAGAGCAUUCUGCCUGCCUAUGUAUCACUAUAAACACUACAAAGUAACAGAAUGUAAUCGCGUCUAACGCAUCUUAAUACAACUUUCAGCAACGGAUCUCUUGGCUCUCGCAUCGAUGAAGAACGCAGCGAAAUGCGAUAAGUAAUGUGAAUUGCAGAAUUCAGUGAAUCAUCGAAUCUUUGAACGCACCUUGCGCUCCUUGGUAUUCCGAGGAGCAUGCCUGUUUGAGUGUCAUGGUAUUCUCAACCCACACAUCCUUGUGAUGCUUGUGAGGCUUGGACUUGGAGGCUUGCUGGCCCAUCGCGGUCGGCUCCUCUUGAAUGCAUUAGCUUGGUUCCUUGCGGAUCGGCUCUCAGUGUGAUAAUUGUCUACGCUGUGACCGUGAAGCGUUUGGCGAGCUUCUAACCGUCCUGCUAGGGACAACUUACUUGACAUCUGACCUCAAAUCAGGUAGGACUACCCGCUGAACUUAAGCAUAUCAAUAAGCGGA
rnacentral:rRNA from 1 species